AGCUCCAAUAGCGUAUACUAAUGUUGUUGCAGUUAAAAAGCUCGUAGUCGGAUUUCAGUUUAUUGUGUGGUUGCCUAACCCGGCACUAUUCGAUUUACUUCAUUGAUGUGACCUUUCAUUGAAUUCAUUUUCGAUGUUUGUUUAACAUCUUCUUUACUUUGAGAAAAUUAGAGUGUUCAAAGCAGGUUUUCGCCUGAAUAUUACUCUUGGAAUAAUAUUAUAGGACUUUGGUUCUAAUUUGUUGGUGUAUUAGGACCGGAGUAAUGAUUGAUAGCGACGGUUGGGGUCAUUCAUACUGCAAAGCGAGAGGUGAAAUUCUUGGACCUUUGUAUGAUGAACAACUGCGAAAGCAUUUGACUAGGACGUUCGUG
rnacentral:rRNA from 1 species